rnacentral:rRNA from 1 species
UGGGGAAUAUUGGACAAUGGGGGGAACCCUGAUCCAGCCAUGCCGCGUGUGUGAAGAAGGCCUUAUGGUUGUAAAGCACUUUAAGCGAGGAGGAGGGUACUGGUAUUAAUACUACCAGGUACUGGACGUUACUCGCAGAAUAAGCACCGGCUAACUCUGUGCCAGCAGCCGCGGUAAUACAGAGGGUGCGAGCGUUAAUCGGAUUUACUGGGCGUAAAGCGUGCGUAGGCGGCUAAUUGAGUCGGAUGUGAAAUCCCCGAGCUUAACUUGGGAAUUGCAUUCGAUACUGGUUAGCUAGAGUGUGGGAGACGAUGGUAGAAUUCCAGGUGUAGCGGUGAAAUGCGUAGAGAUCUGGAGGAAUACCGAUGGCGAAGGCAGCCAUCUGGCCUAACACUGACGCUGAGGUACGAAAGCAUGGGGAGCAAACAGG